AAGAUAAGAGAAAGAUAGGGGAUUCUCACAAUAAGGCCUAUAAUAAAACUUUAAUCCCUUUGAAGGUUUAGCAAUAUUAACAGUAGCAUCAAUUCUUUAAAACAAAAAUUCAAUUUUUAAUUUAAUAAAAAUAAAAAAUACGCAAGGUUUUAAUAUGCUAAAAAUACAACUGAGACGAAACCCUGUUAAAAGUAGAUAAAGGGAUGAUCUUAGUUAGAUAGCCAGAAUGAACCAAAUUAAUUAAUCUCGUUUCAAAAUAUAAUAGAUUAAUUUAAUUUAAUUUUUAUUGUGAUGGUUUAGACUGAAAAGCAAUGCUAAUGGUGUAGAGAGUGGACACGUGAUCAGAGAACCCAACAUAUUUUUAUUCAUUUGGUGGUUGUUACAUUCAAUCAACUCAUAAAAUUAUUAUUUAGAAAAUAAAUGAUAUAAUUUUUUUUUGUCUACUCAC
rnacentral:lncRNA from 1 species